GUGACUGCCUCCGAGGAAGCUCCGCAACUCAGGUCCCUGGAGGGAGGGGCCGAGACAGAGCCGCGUCGGGUGGGAGACUAUAAAAAAUUACCCAGGGAGACCCAGAUCCUGCCAGCCCACCGGUGUCAAAGGGAGCCCUCCUGAGAACGCUGAACUCUGCAGGAGUGUGAAAACGCAACUUAAUUUGAAAUUUGCUGCAGAAUCCCCUGGAGGAAAGAGGUGGGAACCCUGGCCUUUCCCUGGAGGGUGGAAGCUGUCAGACUUGCCUGGGGUCUGGGACAGCCCGGCUGAAGCCGGCAGCCAAGGAAAUCCUUGGCGGGAGGGGGUGGGUGAGCAGGUGCAAGGCCAAGGAUGCAGGAGGCGGGGCUCACCUGAAAGAGGUGUCUGGGAGAGCUUCAGGUGGCGCAGGCAGUUGACAGGGGACUGGAGAAACAGGCUUGACGGGAACCCGAGCGUGAAGGCCCAGCCAAGGUGCCACGCCAGAGCCUGCCACCUGCCAGCUGGUCAUCAUGGCCCCUGCUGGCAGCUGGAGAGGUGCCCUUCGGCUGCAGCGCCCUUUAAAGGUCUGAUGGGUGCCAGGCCUCUGUGUCACCCUAUGGAGUGGAAGUCCCAGGAGGGCGUGUCCAGUUGGCCACACUUUAGGCCCCAUGUCCACAUUCUAGUUGGUGGGGGUGCAGAAUACGUGCUGCAGUCCAUGUCUGUGGUGGGAGGGGGGUCCUCCAAACAGACCUUGGGAUCCCCCAAACAGAUACUGGUUAACCAAAGCAGCAGAUGUCGGCUAUAGCUGGUUCUGAGAUGUGUGUGUGCAUGGGCGCAUUUGUGUGUAUGCGUGAGUGUGUGUGUGUGUGUGAACUGAGGUGCUGGUCCUCCCUCCAGGGCUGUUUUGUUGAGAGCCCAGCCCUGUGGGGGUGUGAGGUGACAGGUAACCCUGGGGAGAGAGGCCCCUGCCUCCCCCUGAAAGGAAAUUCUGCUGGCCUGAGGCAGAGAAUAGGGCCUUUCAGGAAAUGAACCCAGCCUCCCCACUUCUCUGCAACCCUUUAGAAACAAGGGUGGCUGACACCACUUGGCGCGAGGUAGCAAGGACCCCGGGAGCCUUAGGCUUAUCCUGGGGUGAGGUCUCUCUAGAGAGGAGUCAUGGGCUUCUAGCGAUUGAUAAUGUGCUAGACCAGCCCUUAUUGGGAACCUCAAACUGAUGGGCCUGCAUCUCCAUCUCAGCAUCUCUGCCCAGGCAGCUUCCAGCUCGGGGCUGGGCACUGAGACCAGUCUGCCUUGUCUUCCUCGCAGGCACCCAGCUGGGCUACAUUUCCUAGCCUCCCUUGCAGUUUGGUAUCGACCCUGACCUAGUGAUCCGCUGAGGGAUGUGGACAGAUGUGGCUGAGCCACUUCCAGGCCCUACCUAAACAUCUCCGUAAAAAUCCGUAAAACCUUGCGAGCCUCCGGAUCCUUCCCCCAUUCAGCUGGAAGCAGAAGAUUCUGAGGCUUUAGGGGAGGGUGGAGCCACACGAAGCAGGGAGGCCCAUCCACCCAUCAUCCACCACGCUGUCUGCCACACAAGCUAGAAGGACAGCUCCGUGGCACCCCUGAGACUGGGGGGCUGGCUCCAGCAGCAGCUGGGGCUCCCUGACAUGCUCAGAAAAUGGUGCUGAACCAAGCAGUCCCAUGAUCCUGGACAGAGCACUGCCUUGCCCUGGGCCUCCGAUUCCUCCACUGAGCCUGGACCAGGGAACCUCCAGGGAGGAGCAAGCGUGNCACUGAGCCUGGACCAGGGAACCUCCAGGGAGGAGCAAGCAUGCACGCGCACGCACAUGCACACGCACACACACACACACCCUCCUGCUCUGGGGACUGUUUCCCUGAGACCAGGCCUGGGAAUGGCUUCUGGAUACUAUUUGUCUCCAGCACCCAAACGAGGACAGUGUUUCAGAACCUGGUUUCUAACAGACGUCAGGCUAACAAAAACACACGCUGUAGACCAAUAAAAAUGUGAUGGCCAACUCCA
rnacentral:lncRNA from 1 species